rnacentral:tRNA from 1 species
GGUAGGGAUGGCAAACGGUGAGCCGCUGCGAUCGGCAAUCGUAGUUUAGCGGGUUCAACUCCCGUCCCUACCU